rnacentral:rRNA from 1 species
ACUCAAAUGAAUUGACGGGGGCCCGCACAAGCAGCGGAGCAUGUGGAUUAAUUCGACGCAACGCGAAGAACCUUACCAGGUCUUGACAUCCAAUUAAAGCUGUUGAAAGACAGUGUCCCUCCGGGGGAAUUGAGACAGGUGGUGCAUGGUUGUCGUCAGCUCGUGUCGUGAGAUGUUGGGUUAAGUCCCGCAACGAGCGCAACCCUUACGAUCAGUUACCAGCGGGUGAAGCCGGGGACUCUGAUGGGACUGCCGUGGAGAACACGGAGGAAGGUGGGGACGACGUCAAAUCAUCAUGCCCCUUACGAUCUGGGCUUCACACGUGCUACAAUGGCCGGAACAAAGGGAAGCGAGAGCGCAAGCUGGAGCGGAACUCAUAAAACCGGUCUCAGUUCGGAUUGUGGGCUGCAACCCGCCCACAUGAAGUCGGAGUUGCUAGUAAUCGCGGAUCAGCAUGCCGCGGUGAAUGCGUUCCCGGGCCUUGUACACACCGCCCGU